rnacentral:lncRNA from 1 species
GUGUGGAGCAUCUUAAGUUCCACACCAAGCCUAAGGCUGAAACGCCUUUGGUGGGCGUAGUAUUAUAGAGAAUUGAACUUCAAGGUCUUGCCCACGCCAUGCCCGCUUGUGAUCCCAGAGGAACAUAUUCCGUUCCACGGGGGUUCGCCAGAGGGGCAGGGUUGUGCCUUUGUAUAGGACGUGGAGAGGCACUCUUGGUUGGCGUGGUAUCUCCUUUCAAAGGACCGUAGAAGAGUAGAACUGGCCUUGACCUAAAUUAAAAGAGACAUCGCCACUCUCGUUCUCCGGCUCUGUUUGAGCGCUGUUGGGGCUGGAGGUCAGCAGCAGUAGCUGAGUGAGGACCAGGAGGAGGACGGUGAGGGGUCCCAAAGUUCCAGGGCAGCUGAGAACCCCUACCAGCGAGGCAGGGAAGUGGGCAGUGAGAAUUGUCUCUAGAAUGCAGCAAACCAUGAGCUUGGCAGUUUGAAGUGCACUAAAGCAAUGAGUGGGGAAGCGCGAAGGCUCUGAAGUCAGACCUCCUGCGUUCAAACCAUGCUCCAGUAUUUACUGAGUGACCUUGGGCAGGUUGCUUAACCUUUCUAAGUCUCAGUUUCUCCAUCUGCAAAAUGAAGGAGCAAGGGUAAAGGACAUAGCUUCUCAUUGUUCUACUGCUUGGAGCAGCUUUUCAGUCAGUAACCUGACCAAGACAAUUGAUGUGAGCUCAAGAACAAAGGUGUGGUUGAAGUCUUUGGAGAAGGACUGAGGUGUUAUCUAAAAAUGAAGCUUGUAGAUGUUGAUAUUUUUAUAAGAAUCAAAUACCCUGCCCCAAGUGGAACUCAUCCCCCCAGCAAGGGAUUUUAUCUGUUUAAAUAUUUAGACGAGCAUUCUGUUGAAUCCCUAAUUUUUAUAUUACAUGGAGAGAAGACAAAUUCCAUUGAUAAGGCUAUUUCAUUCAAUAGUUACCUGCUUCUACUAUAAAACUUUAAUAUGGAUCGUGUACAGUGUUUUGAUUUGAGCUGGUCU